AGUGGCGGACGGGUGAGUAACGCGUGAUAAUCUGCCUUGGGGUCGGGGACAACCACUGGAAACGGUGGCUAAUACCGGAUAAGCCGAUUGGUGAAAGAUUUAUUGCCCGAAGAGGAGCUCGCGUCUGAUUAGCUAGUUGGUGAGGUAAGAGCUCACCAAGGCAGCGAUCAGUAGCUGGUCUGAGAGGACGAUCAGCCACACUGGGACUGAGACACGGCCCAGACUCCUACGGGAGGCAGCAGUGGGGAAUUUUCCGCAAUGGGCGAAAGCCUGACGGAGCAAGACCGCGUGAGGGAGGAAGGCUCUUGGGUUGUAAACCUCUUUUCUCAGGGAAGAAGCUCUGCGGUACCUGAGGAAUCAGCCUCGGCUAACUCCGUGCCAGCAGCCGCGGUAAUACGGAGGAGGCAAGCGUUAUCCGGAAUUAUUGGGCGUAAAGCGUCCGCAGGUGGCGAUUCAAGUCUGCUGUCAAAGCACGGGGCUUAACUCCGUAAAGGCAGUGGAAACUGAAUAGCUAGAGUGCCGUAGGGGUAGAGGGAAUUCCCGGUGUAGCGGUGAAAUGCGUAGAGAUCGGGAAGAACAUCGGUGGCGAAAGCGCUCUACUGGACGGCAACUGACACUCAGGGACGAAAGCUAGGGGAGCGAAUGGGAUUAGAUACCCC
rnacentral:rRNA from 1 species